GAAAUGCGAUAAGUAGUGUGAAUUGCAGAAUUCAGUGAAUCAUCGAAUCUUUGAACGCACAUUGCGCCCUUUGGUAUUCCAAAGGGCAUGCCUGUUCGAGCGUCAUUUGUACCCUCAAGCUUUUCUUGGUGUUGGGCGUCUUGUCUCCAGUUCGCUGGAGACUCGCCUUAAAGUAAUUGGCAGCCGGCCUACUGGUUUCGGAGCGCAGCACAAGUCGCGCUCUCUUCCAGCCAAGGUCAGCAUCCACAAAGCCUUUUUUCAACUUUUGACCUCGGAUCAGGUAGGGAUACCCGCUGAACUUAAGC
rnacentral:misc_RNA from 1 species